CCCUAACUGCCGGGGCCCCUUAGUUUUUUAACUAACCUUACCCAAUGAGCGUUAUGCCACUGUAUAUAACUACCUGAAAAAUAUACAAGCAGGGCUUCGACGUUUCGAGCGAAGACCCUAACUUUCCGACGAAGGGACUCGUUUGAAGGUAGUUGUAUGAAGGUAGUUGUAUGUCUACCCUUUUGAAGGUAGUUGUAUGUCUCAUUUCACAGCUCCAGCAGAGGCCGCGGAAGCAUUUCGAAAGUGGAGGGGCAUUGACCGAAAGGGGCACUUUUGUAUAUGACCAAAAUCAAACGAUUUUAUGACGUUCACGAGCCGAACGAAAAUUUUUGAAAAUAUGGAGUCUCUCUAACGUCGGAAAUGGCCUUUACAGAGUCUUUACUACUGCGCAAAGGGCAUUUUCUUUCCAGAAAAAGAGGGCGUUUAUUCAAGAAAUACUUUUUUCGUUUUUUAAAUGGGGCAUUUUAGCCCAGAAAAAAGGGCACUUUUUUCACUUUUAAGAAAAGUGGGGGGGCAUAUGCCCCCAUUGCCCCCCCGGUUCCGCGGCCCCUGAGCUCCAGUGACACUUAGGGACGGACCAUUAGAAAAGUGAUGGGGGGGGGGUUGGGAGUUGGGGAAACAGCAAAAAUAAAAAUCGACAGAAAAAAAAACAGAAAGAAAAAAAAAUUCGUCCAGAGACUUUUCAAUAGGGAAAAUUAUAAGUUGAAAUAAAAAAAUUCGAGCAAGGGAUUAUAUUUUAAAAAUUUAUCGAGACAUGCAAGCAAAAAAUUUUGAAAAAAUAUUCGCACAAGUUGAAAAGUCCCCCCCCCCCAUCACGUUUCUAAUGGUCCGUCCCUUACAGACUUCUAGAAUCUUAGAACUGACAGACCUGUAUACGUAUUUCGUCCUUAAUUAAUUAAUAACACUUGACCAACUAAUCGUUCGAACUUAGCUAACACAGCCAUUCAGGAUAGAUAAAGUUAGUUCAGCACAGCCUUGUCCACAACGUGCUUAAAGCGUUGACAUACACCUUUAACCUGUUUGAAAAUAGUUGCUUUGACUUUGUGCAAAACAAUACAUUUAAAAAAAUAAUCGCUAUUAAGAAAGAUUCCGGGAUACAAGUGAAUCCAUCUUUUUUAUGUCACUAUAUAUAAUCGCCCAAAACAACAGCCCGCCAACAGGCCCAAAGUCGUGCAUAUCCUGUAGAAAAACUCAAAGUUUUAAGUGGGAUUAUCCUAUUAAAACAUACUCGUGAGAUGAAUGAGGUCCCAGCCAAAACACUCGUGUAUAAUUCUGGCAUUUUCUAUCUUUCUGCCAUAGUUUGCUGACAGAGAACCGAGCGAAGAGAUACUAAACUAAACAUGAAACGUCUUAAAGAUAUUCUACUAGUUCUAUUUCGGAUAAAGAUGGUAAUUUUGUUCAUUCAAGGGACGAAAGGCGGGGAAUUGAGUAAUGGUAAGUUACUAUGUACGAUGACGCAGAUUAUAAUCACAAUAUGAUAAUCACGCAUGAUAAGUCACUCCUAAUCUGCGUGUAUUGUGUUAAUGACGUAUAGCAACG